rnacentral:lncRNA from 10 species
UACAUUUGGGAGCAGUUGGCUUCUGGUUUUAAACACAAGAAUUUUCGAUCUCGAGAAGGCGUGUGUCUGUGUCUUAUUGAAACCUUAAACAUUUUUGGGGCUCAGCCACUAGUCAUCAGCAAAUUGAUACCACAUUUGUGUAUCCUGUUUGGAGACUCCAACAGUCAGGUGAGAGAUGCUGCAAUAUUGGCUAUAGUGGAGAUUUAUAGACAUGUGGGAGAAAAAGUGAGGAUGGAUCUUUAUAAGAGAGGAAUUCCCCCUGCUAGACAGGGUCUGGCUCUGUUGCCUAGGCUGCAGUGCAGUGUUACGAUCUCGGCUUACUGCAACCUCCACCUCCCGGGCUGAAGCCAUCCUCUCACCUCAGCCUCCCAAGUAGCUGGGACAACAGACGUGUGCCACCACGCUUGGCUACUUUUUGUAUUUUUUGUAGAGAUAGGGUUUCACCAUGUUGCCCAGGCUGGUCUUGAACUCCGGAGCUCAAGCAGUCCUCCCGCCUCAGUCUCCCUGGAAUUAUGGGCGUGAACCACUGCAGUCAGCUGAAAUGUUUUAAAAUUCAAAAGAUACAAAAGGAUAUAUAUGUUAUCACCAUUUAAAAAGUUCUUAAGGUCCUGUAAUAUUUUUUGUCAUUGUUUCAUUAUAUAUUCAUUUAUUAUUUAGUAUGUAAUUAUGUACCAUUAUCAAGUAAUCAUCCUUUGAUACCAGGUGGUAAUAGUCAUUAUUUGGGAGAUGCUUGAGCAAGGAUUUACUAAAAAUAUUAAUUCAUUCAUCAAGUAAAUCCUUUAAAAGUAUGUACUGUUGAAAGGUACCAUACAAUUUAUUGGGUAACAGAAACUGUAUGAGAAUCAGUUUUUUAAAAGCUUAAUAAGUAACCAAUUGUAGGGUUCUUACAAUU